AGUCGAACGGAAAGGCCCCUUCGGGGGUACUCGAGUGGCGAACGGGUGAGUAACACGUGGGCAAUCUGCCCUGCACUUCGGGAUAAGCCUGGGAAACUGGGUCUAAUACCGGAUAGGACCACUUGGCGCAUGCCUUGUGGUGGAAAGCUUUUGCGGUGUGGGAUGGGCCCGCG
rnacentral:rRNA from 1 species